UCAUGCCAAUGGCACUGCCCGGUAGCUAAAUGCGGAAGAGAUAAGUGCUGAAAGCAUCUAAGCACGAAACUUGCCCCGAGAUGAGUUCUCCCUGAGACUAUAAGUCUCCUGAAGGAACGUUGAAGACGACGACGUUGAUAGGCCGGGUGUGUAAGCGCAGCGAUGCGUUGAGCUAACCGGUACUAAUGAACCGUGAGGCUUAACCUUACAACGCCGAAG
rnacentral:rRNA from 1 species